rnacentral:lncRNA from 8 species
UAUCAGUCUCACACCAGCAACACUCUCUCCAGAGGAUUGGAUCAGACUCCUCAGGGAAUCUAUGAUUGAACUCAGACAACUCCAGCCAACAGUGAGGUACAGUCAAUAAAACAUGACCCCACAAAUGUUGUUCCAAAGCAGUACCCAAUACCACUGUGUGGUUGGUAUAACCGCUGGCCCAGUGAGGAGGCGGCAUGGCCAGGGGAGCACCAAGAGAGGAAAGGGAGCUGACGGAAGCUGAGUCUGACCACCCAGGCCCUGAGGCACCUCCUCCCUAGCCCCUCCCCAGUGGAUAUGAUGACUGACAGGCUGGUAGAGCAGGGAGACACAGAGCCACCUAAUGACGGCCUGCCUCUUAUAGCUGAGGAGAAACACUGGACUCCGGCACACCUCUCCUCUCAAUCCCCAUCCAAGGAGAGCUCUGAAUCUAUGUUCUCUUUCAGCGCUGCCUCCUCUUUGCCCCCUCUGAGAUGGGGCAUCCCAUAUGUGUAUGGAGGCACAGUGAUGCUGCAGCAGAUCUCCUCCCUGCUUAGUGAUGGAGGAGGGUGUCACAGCAGGCAGGAUGACAGCCCAUCCCUCCCAGCAGACAAACUCCACCCAGGCUGCCCUGACCUGCUUCUGACCCUAGAGGGCGCCACAGACCCUGUCUCCUUCAACAGCCUGAGUCUAGACAGCAGGAAUGUGGAGGAGCUGGUGUUCUCCACUGAGUGGGGAGUAGAGGAGAUCAUGACCUGUGAUGCCAGGAGACGACCUCGUAAUUGUGAAAGAGGAGGCAGUUCCCCAUGUGUAUGUAACAUUAGACAGAAUGUUACAUAUACAUUUACACAAUGGCUAUGUUUACUUUUUUUUUCAACAGACUGA